AACGAACGCUGGCGGCAGGCUUAACACAUGCAAGUCGAACGCAUCCUUCGGGGUGAGUGGCAGACGGGUGAGUAACGCGUGGGAACGUGCCCUUCAGUUCGGGAUAACCCAGGGAAACUUGGGCUAAUACCGGAUACGUGCGAGAGCAGAAAGAUUUAUCGCUGAAGGAUCGGCCCGCGUCUGAUUAGCCGGUUGGUGGGGUAAUGGCCCACCAAGGCGACGAUCAGUAGCUGGUCUGAGAGGAUGAUCAGCCACAUUGGGACUGAGACACGGCCCAAACUCCUACGGGAGGCAGCAGUGGGGAAUAUUGGACAAUGGGCGCAAGCCUGAUCCAGCCAUGCCGCGUGAGUGAUGAAGGCCUUAGGGUUGUAAAGCUCUUUCGUCCGGGACGAUAAUGACGGUACCGGAAGAAGAAGCCCCGGCUAACUUCGUGCCAGCAGCCGCCGUAA
rnacentral:rRNA from 1 species